rnacentral:piRNA from 1 species
UAACACGUUGGGGAACUGAGGAACGGUU